rnacentral:rRNA from 1 species
UACGAAGGGGGCUAGCGUUGCUCGGAAUCACUGGGCGUAAAGCGCACGUAGGCGGAUCUUUAAGUCAGGGGUGAAAUCCUGGAGCUCAACUCCGGAACUGCCUUUGAUACUGGGGAUCUCGAGUCCGGGAGAGGUGAGUGGAACUCCGAGUGUAGAGGUGAAAUUCGUAGAUAUUCGGAAGAACACCAGUGGCGAAGGCGGCUCACUGGCCCGGUACUGACGCUGAGGUGCGAAAGCGUGGGGAGCAAACAGG